UAUUUAUAGUAUUUUUGCAGGUGUCGACAAUAUUAUAAACAACAUCCGUAAUGGCUGGAGAAAUACAAUGUAUCGUUUGAGAAACUGGCGUCAAUAUUUUCAAAGAAAUCGUCCUGAACCUCCUGUAAGACAUGACUUAAACGGUGGAAUAGAAAUUAUCGAACCCCAGUAAAUUAAUUAAUGAGAGGACAAAAAUUAUACAUACAGCGAUUAGUUACUAACUAAUCUAUAGUAUCGAUUUAAAAUGACAACCUGCAAAGUGAAUCCAAAA